GACGAACGCUGGCGGCGUGCUUAACACAUGCAAGUCGAACGUGAUUUUUGUGGAAAUUCCUUCGGGAAUGGAAAUGAAAUGAAAGUGGCGAACGGGUGAGUAACACGUGAGCAACCUACCUUACACAGGGGGAUAGCCGUUGGAAACGACGAUUAAUACCGCAUGAGACCACAGAAUCGCAUGAUAUAGGGGUCAAAGAUUUAUCGGUGUAAGAAGGGCUCGCGUCUGAUUAGCUAGUUGGAAGGGUAAAGGCCUACCAAGGCGACGAUCAGUAGCCGGUCUGAGAGGAUGAACGGCCACAUUGGAACUGAGACACGGUCCAAACUCCUACGGGAGGCAGCAGUGGGGAAUAUUGCACAAUGGGGGGAACCCUGAUGCAGCGACGCCGCGUGAGCGAAGAAGGUUUUCGAAUCGUAAAGCUCUGUCCUAUGAGAAGAUAAUGACGGUAUCAUAGGAGGAAGCCCCGGCUAAAUACGUG
rnacentral:rRNA from 1 species